GACGAACGCUGGCGGCGUGCUUAACACAUGCAAGUCGAACGGAAAGGCCCUGCUUUUGUGGGGUGCUCGAGUGGCGAAAGGGUGAGUAACACGUGAGUAACCUGCCCUUGACUUUGGGAUAACUUCAGGAAACUGGGGCUAAUACCGGAUAGGAGCUCCUGCUGCAUGGUGGGGGUUGGAAAGUUUCGGCGGUUGGGGAUGGACUGGCGGCUUAUCAGCUUGUUGGUGGGGUAGUGGCUUACCAAGGCUUUGACGGGUAGCCGGCGUGGGAGGGUGACCGGCCAAGAGGGGACGGGGAGACAGCCGAAGCUACUACGGGGGGCUGGGGGGGAGAAUGAUGGAGCAAGGGCGGGAGAGUGAAGCAGCUACGCGGGUUGUGAAGCGCUGUUGUACGGGUAGAAAGCGUCUUCGCCUGGAAAGGAAGCACUGUGAGGGGAGAUUGGUAGAAAAGCACGGCUAACUACGUG
rnacentral:rRNA from 1 species